rnacentral:rRNA from 1 species
ACGGGAGGCAGCAGUGAGGAAUAUUGGUCAAUGGACGAGAGUCUGAACCAGCCAAGUAGCGUGCAGGAUGACGGCCCUAUGGGUUGUAAACUGCUUUUGUACGGGAAUAAAGUCAUCCACGUGUGGAUGUUUGCAUGUACCGUAAGAAUAAGGACCGGCUAAUUCCGUGCCAGCAGCCGCGGUAAUACGGAAGGUCCGGGCGUUAUCCGGACUUAUUGGGUUUAAAGGGAGCGUAGGCCGUGCUUUAAGCGUGUUGUGAAAUGUAGGCGCCCAACGUCUGCACUGCAGCGCGAACUGGAGCACUUGAGUACGCAGGAAGUAGGCGGAAUUCGUCGUGUAGCGGUGAAAUGCUUAGAUAUGACGAAGAACUCCGAUUGGGAAGGCAGCCUUCUGGGGCAUGAUUGACGCUGAGGCUCGAAAGUGCGGGAAUCAAACAGGAUUAGAUACCCUGGUA